GAGCAUGUUUGGACUAAAUGAAAAUUGCUAAUUCUCAUAAUCACGGUUCAACCCCGUGACUUGCUCGU
rnacentral:tRNA from 1 species